UCUCGACGCUCAUACGAACAGGCAGACAGACGGACAUGGCCAGAUCGACUCUGUUCGCUUCCUUCUGACUGUUAGAUACUUUUCAACGAGUCUUGUAUACCCUUUUACUCUACGAGUAACGGGUAUAAUUAAACGAAAAGGACAGACCGACGGUAAAAGUGCUGAGCACAAGAAUUAAACAGGAGAAACUAUCUGAUUCCCGUUUAAAAGAAAAUUUCCCAAGAGCUUGUAAUACAUACAUCCAUAUACAGUUUUGGAUAUCCAUUAGCAUAUGUAAAGAGAACAACAAAAUGACGCAGCUAAGUGACUUUCGUGGUAUUAGUUAGAUGUUCUGAGGUGAGAAAAGACAAAUUAUUGUGCUCUUGCUAAGAUUCAUAUUUGAAAAGGGUAUAAUAGAAAAUGGUUGCGAGAAUUUAAAGGGCAUGAUUACAACGAGUCAAAUCGACUAUAUAAAAAAGAACUAAUUACAUCGCGGACAAUUUAUCUGAUAUAAAUCUCGUUAUAAUUUGCAAUUUGUUAAGACUGUAAAACGGCAAGGCCGACCUGACGAAACACAUAGCCGAAUCAGAUUUUUGCGAAGGAGAUGAAACUAACAAUGAUAUCGGAUAAGAAACUCACGAAGAGACAGAUAAUAUCAGUGUGCGAAGCGGCAGAAGUGACAAAGUAUAUCAGAAAAAUGCAAGCAGUGCAGCAGAACACUAUACCGAAGUUUGCUUUAAACUUUCCGUAUAUAGAGAACUCAGUUCGGUCGUUUAGUGGCGAAGACAAGCUGUCAACAGAAGUGCGGGUAAAAGAAUUUGAAGACAUAUUUUGGAAUGACUCACAGAAUUUCGUUUUUGCAAAGCGAUCGUUGCAAGGCUGUUUGCCAAAAGUAAGCGUGAAUUGACAAGUUCGGAAAAGCUGAGAAUCGACCUUUUACAAAAGUGCGCAGCUACAUAAGCUCAUGUCGGAGAAAAAGAUUAAGAAAGGCGAAAGAUAACUGGCGUACUUUUUGCACAAGAAAGAGCAAGCUUCCAUAGCGACAUUGAAAAUAGUUCUCUUAUUGAAUACAUCAUCGACGGAAUUGAGCAUUCGUGUGGCAAUAAACUAGUACUCUACAGAUAUACGAAUUGAUACAACUGUGCUGCCAAGGAACAUACAUGUGAAAACAUGAAUUGUAAAAACAAGAGCAAGGGUAAAAAAUGUUUUCAGUGUAACAAUUUCAGGCAUAUCGCCAAAGAAUGUCCAACAAUCGCACUAUGUGAAAAAAUGGGCACAGCCAACAUAGGUGUCAUAUACUUAUUCUUUUAUGUGCAUAACAGUGGAAGUAUAUAAUGAAAAGUACACUGUUCUGAUUGAUACCGGAAGUAAAAAUUAUUCAAUAACAUAUGCUUCUUACAAGAAACCAGAUAAAAAUUUAAGGGGCUGCAAAAUAUUUCUCGUCGGGUCUAGUAAAUAAGACAAAAACAAGAUCAAACCUUUGAGAUCGUUUUAGCAUGAACUGUCAAUAGACGGUGUAGAAUUGGUAACAAAGUUUCUCGUCGUAGAAUUGCAUCUCCUGGACAAAGAAAUGGUGCUUGGUGAAUAGUUUUGCAAACAAACCCAAGUUACAGUAAAUAGUGAAGAAGUAACAGUUCCAAACGUCUCAGGUCAGAUACUAGGAUAAGUUCAAUUCUCCACAUUGAUAUCGAAGAUCACGAAACCGUAACUACAAGCAUUGAAUCAACAGCAAGCAACAAAGCUAAAGAAACAGUCCACGUUUAAUUCUGAACGACGAUAUGCCAAUACACUCAAGACCCCGCAGAUUUUCUUAUGCCAAACUAUGCACUGUAGACAAUCAAACCGAUCAAUGGCUUAAUGACGGCCUCAUCGAAACGUCAGAGUCAGAGUCAGUUGUUUUAGUCCAGAAAUGUACGGAUCUCAUCUCUUGUGUAUCGACUAUAGGCGAAUUAACAAAGUUAUAAUCAGAGAUCACUCUUCCUUACCUUAAAUUGAUAAUCAAAUCGACAGAUUACAAAACGCAAUGGUUUUCAGUUUUAUCGACUUAAUAAAAGGAUUCUUUAACGUAGAAGUUGAGGGCAAUUUCAGUUUCUGCGAAUAGCGUAUUUCAACGACACGUAAGGCUAUGUUCAUUUAACGCUCAUUUAACCAGCAAAGGAGUGGCUAUACCAUGCGUUGACGGCGUAAUAAUUCGAACAGAAACGAAGAAGAAGCUGUAGAAAACAUCAAAGAAGUUUUUAAGAGGUGCUCAGAGUCUGGGCUCAUAAUUAACUUCAAGAAAUGUCUUUUUUUAAAAAAAAAAAAAGCCAGCUUCAUUUCCAGUUCUAACCAACUGAAUUUAUUCCCACCUUUUCACAAGUAGCUAAGUUAUAUGUCAUGACAAAACUAGAUGCAAAGAUUAAAUUCGGUAAUUUAGAGAUGUCUGCAUUCAACAAUCUUAGGAUGCAGAUUACACAAAACCUGUUUUAAGUCUUAUGCUGGAAACACCAAAACUACACCCUUCAAGCUAGGGCACGAAGAUCGCCCUAAAUUAGAUCUAAGGAUUCAGCAAAUGAUAGAGGAUGAAAUAAUUCAGAAUUUCAACGACGAGCGCUAUCAACUUUGAAUCCAAGCGAAGAAGCAUAUUCUCGAGAAUCAAAACGAGAACAAAAAGGGAUACCAUCUAAGCGAAGACCAUCCUCAAAAGUACAAAGUCGGCGUCCAGUGCUAUUAAAAACACUCAGCCUUGUCCAGAAUUAAAACUGAAACCGAAGUAUCUGGGUUAAAUCAAAUAAUACUUAUAACGUUUCAUAAGAUUCCGUAUUUAGUAAGGGCCCAAGGCAAUACUUGCGCUGAGUUUCUAAAACCAUGGAUGCCUUAUAACAAUGACAAAGAAAACGCAUUCGAGGCGAUUGUGGGAAUGAUCUGACAACGCAGAAUGACUGGCUAACACAGCUAAACUAACAACGAUAAGGUGAAGCUAACGACGUGGCAAACCUUAAAACGACGGGAGAAAACAAUUUUGGGAGGAGAACAAAAAGACGUGAGAAAGAUAGGUUUUACGAUAAGAAAGUAGAAGAUUUGCCGGCAACGACUCUCUCGGCAAACACCUUUAAUAAUAAUCAAUCUAAAUCAGUAAAGACCAAUACAUUAAAAACAUUAUAAUAUAAAUAAAACUUAUAAAAAUAACUCAGUGGGAUUGUGUUAAUUUACUUAAAAGGCUAGUCACAACAGGGUUUUUCAUUGGGGGCGCUUGAUCUUUGAAAUGAAAAAAAAAUACACGUAGGAGAAAUUUUAUUUUUAUUUUAAAGGUUAUGUUUCCUUUAGGGCAUUGGUGGUUUGCGGCUUCUUGGCAUAGACCUGCGACACAAAAAAAAAUUCAGGGGGGUCGAAUCUCGGUGGCCAGUUCACGUCGCCUUUGCGCGAGAUGACCAUGUCCUGAAAUUGCUCGUGUAGACAUCCAUCGUAGCAAGUGCUGUUGAAACCACAUGUUGUCCAGAUCCAUUAUCGCUCCUGUAUCGCUCAGCAUUGACGGUAACAGCCACACCAUUAUCGUUUCGGUAAAAUGCUACGUGUGUGCUUUCAUUUGCUCGAACUGAAGGCGUUUAUUCCUCAGCGACGACCACACCAAAGCAGUGUUGGAUUUUUGCCCGGUGGAGAAUAUCGAGGGGCGUUUCAUUCCGCUUCGAUUCCAUCACUAAGUGAUCAUUGAGAAGCUGCAGUGAAGACAGCUAUGCAUCACUUUUAUCGUUUUGACCUUUGAUAACUCUUCUUUGUCACAUAUCUGCCGUAAUUAAUUCUCGACAUUUAGAAUCAAUUUCAGAAAACCUUUCCGAUCUUGACGUUUUAGCUCCAGCACAUUUUUUUAAUGGUGGACCGCUUAUUCAACCUUACUGCAGCAGCGAUUGAAGUGGAUCACUAACAAGUCUGGCUUAGAAGUGGAUGAAUGUUUUGCCGUUCCUGAAGUUGCCUUUAGCGACAGUCGUUGAGCUGCUGCCUGGAAGAGAUGGAGUCUCCCGAGUUGCUGUGCUGAGUACAACAAAAGGAUUGACGAAAAUAAACUCAGACAACUGUACGACAACUUCAAGUGCUUAAGAAAAAGAGAAAGAAGAUGAGAGGUUCGGAUCAAAGCUUUCCUGCUCCUUGCACUGAUCCGCAAAUCAGUAUUUCAGGUCUUCACACAUUCCGCUUUUAGCAGACUAAUGCCACACCAUCUUAACGCCUCGAAGGACUUGUUUCACAAAGUGUUUGCUAGUCAUUGCAGAUAACCACAAAUAACACCUCAUAGUUUAGUAGCUCAAGAGGUACUGGAUAAAUAUUUUUAUUUUUGUUAAAUUUAUACAAGUUAUUAGUAAAUAAAAGUUUUUUAUAGCA